AGCCGCCGCGGUAAUACCAGCGGUCCAAGUGGCAGCCGCGUUUAUUGGGUCUAAAACAUCCGUAGCUUGUCGUGUAAGUCUCUUGUGAAAUCUGGCAUCUCAAGUGUCGGGCGUGCAAGAGAUACUGCGCGACUAGGGACCGGGAGACGUAAGGAGUACGGUUAGGGUAGCGGUAAAAUGCGUUGAUCCUUUCUGGACUAACGAUAGCGAAGGCACCUUACGAGAACGGAUCCGACAGUCAGGGAUGAAGGCUAGGGGCGCAAAACGGAUUAGAUACCCGUGUAGUCCUAGCAGUAAACACUGCACACUAAACAUCGGUACCUCCUCGAGAGGUAUCGGUGCUGCAGGGAAGCCGUAGAGUGUGCUACCUGGGAAGUAUAGUCGCAAGGCCGAAACUUAAAGGAAUAGGCGGCGGGGUACUACAACCAGUGACGCGUGCGGUUCAAUUAGAUUCUACACCGUGAACCUCACCAGGAUCGACAGCAGGAUGAAGGUCAGUCUAAAGGGCUUACCUGACACGCUGAGAGGAGAUGCAUGGCCGA
rnacentral:rRNA from 1 species